rnacentral:misc_RNA from 1 species
CGAGAAACAGCGGUUCUUGCAGACCUUCUGAUUCUUAUUCUUCUCCAUUUGAGAGGACGAACUGGUCACGAAGACAAUCUAACUUUUACAGUUCUCCAUUUGGUAAAAGUAGUAGUAAGCACUAUGGACAAGAGUAUUGGAGAACCUAUGGAGAAUCACAUCCCAGAUGGUAAAAGGUCGAAAAAUUUGAAGAUGAAGGAUUCCUUGAAAAGUAAAGGAUUAGUAAUCCUUUUUAGAGAUCAAAUGGAUUCGGUCUUUGAGCUAUGUCACAGAUUGGUGACCUGAUCAUGCUAAGCAAGACACAAAAUUCUAUCUCAAUGACCAGUUUGCCCCUGG